rnacentral:lncRNA from 1 species
AGGAAUUGUAUAUUUCAUGAAAAUGUCGUAUGUAAAGAUAUAUAAUUAAUUAAGGAAUUGUACGUAAUUUCUUGGCUAAUAUGUGUAUAUAAUUGCUACACACAAAGUUUUCAUAAGAGCGCAAUCAAUUACAAGGAAAAAAAAAACAUAAAAGUUUAUUAGCGAUCUCACGUUCUCUCGUUCUCUUGUCGUUACUACAUGUUGCUUAUGUUAUGUAAUUAUGUACUAAAUCGCAUUAUGAAGUUUCUAUACAUAAAAAAAG